GCACGGGUGUCGGAGCGGUUACGUCGGGGAUUGCAAAUCCUCUUACCUGGGUUCAAAUCCCAGCCUGUGCUCCA
rnacentral:tRNA from 1 species